UACGUAGGGGGCAAGCGUUGUCCGGAAUCAUUGGGCGUAAAGAGCGUGUAGGCGGCUCGGUAAGUCCGCUCUGAAAGCCCGGGGCUCAACCCCGGGAGGCGGGCGGAUACUGUCGGGCUAGAGUCCGGAAGAGGCGAGUGGAAUUCCUGGUGUAGCGGUGAAAUGCGCAGAUAUCAGGAGGAACACCAAUGGCGAAGGCAGCUCGCUGGGGAUGUACUGACGCUGAGACACGAAAGCCAGGGGAGCAAACGGG
rnacentral:rRNA from 1 species